rnacentral:rRNA from 1 species
CUACGGGGGGCAGCAGUGGGGAAUAUUGGACAAUGGAGGAAACUCUGAUCCAGCCAUGCCGCGUGAGUGAAGAAGGCCUUAGGGUUGUAAAGCUCUUUCGCAAGGGAAGAUAAUGACGGUACCUUGAUAAGAAGCCCCGGCUAACUUCGUGCCAGCAGCCGCGGUAAUACGAAGGGGGCUAGCGUUGUUCGGAAUUACUGGGCGUAAAGCGCGCGUAGGCGGUUUGGAAAGUCAGGUGUGAAAGCCCGGGGCUCAACCCCGGAACUGCACUUGAAACUAUCAAACUAGAAUCCGGUAGAGGGCAGUGGAAUUCCUAGUGUAGCGGUGAAAUGCGUAGAUAUUAGGAGGAACACCAGUGGCGAAGGCGACUGCCUGGGCCGGUAUUGACGCUGAGGUGCGAAAGCGUGGGGAGCAAACGGGAUUAGAUACCCUAGUAGUC